rnacentral:rRNA from 1 species
AAACUAUAUUAAAUACAAUUAUCAAAUUUAUUUUAAAUGUAAAAAAACAUUUAUUAUACAGAAAGACGACAAGACCCUAUCAAACUUUACUUUAGUUAAACUGGGGAAGUUAUAUAAUUAAUAUUUUAUUAAAAAAUACAAAUACAAAUAUCAAUACAAAUAAUAUAUAGUUACUGUAGGGAUAACAGCGUAAUAAUAUUUUAAAGCACUUAUUCAAAAAACUGAUUACGACCUCGAUGUUGAAUUAAUAUCCUAUUAAAAGCAAUAUUUUAAAAUGGAAGUCUGUUCGACUUUUAAAAAAUUACAUGAUUUGAGUUCAGACCGGUGUAAGCCAGGUCGGUUUCUAUCUUCUAUGAUACAAUUACAGUACGAAAGGACCUAAUAUUAUUUUUUAAUAUUGGCAGAUAAAUGCAUUAGAAUUAGAAUCUAAUCACAUUAAA